UGGGGAAUAUUGGACAAUGGGCGAAAGCCUGAUCCAGCCAUGCCGCGUGUGUGAAGAAGGUCUUCGGAUUGUAAAGCACUUUAAGUUGGGAGGAAGGGCAGUAAGAUAAUACCUUGCUGUUUUGACGUUACCGACAGAAUAAGCACCGGCUAACUCUGUGCCAGCAGCCGCGGUAAUACAGAGGGUGCAAGCGUUAAUCGGAAUUACUGGGCGUAAAGCGCGCGUAGGUGGUUUGUUAAGUUGGAUGUGAAAGCCCCGUGCUCAACCUGGGAACUGCAUCCAAAACUGGCAAGCUAGAGUACGGUAGAGGGUGGUGGAAUUUCCUGUGUAGCGGUGAAAUGCGUAGAUAUAGGAAGGAACACCAGUGGCGAAGGCGACCACCUGGACUGAUACUGACACUGAGGUGCGAAAGCGUGGGGAGCAAACAGG
rnacentral:rRNA from 1 species